rnacentral:rRNA from 1 species
ACGGGCUCUUCGGAGCUAGUGGCGGACGGGUGAGUAACACGUGAGAAUCUGGCUCCCGGUCGGGGACAACAGAGGGAAACUUCUGCUAAUCCCGGAUGAGCCGAAAGGUAAAAGAUUUAUCGCCGGGAGAUGAGCUCGCGUCUGAUUAGCUAGUUGGUGAGGUAAAGGCUCACCAAGGCGACGAUCAGUAGCUGGUCUGAGAGGAUGAUCAGCCACACUGGGACUGAGACACGGCCCAGACUCCUACGGGAGGCAGCAGUGGGGAAUUUUCCGCAAUGGGCGCAAGCCUGACGGAGCAAGACCGCGUGGGGGAGGAAGGCUCUUGGGUUGUAAACCCCUUUUCUCAAGGAAGAACACAAUGACGGUACUUGAGGAAUAAGCCUCGGCUAACUCCGUGCCAGCAG